GUGCAAACUCGAUCACUAGCUCUGCAUAAUGUGGCAGAAGCUAAGGGAACCAGGUUUGCUAGAGCAAGUAUGGUGAUAGCAAUGCACCCACCUCGGAAGUUACUGAGGUGCCCAUUGUGUCCCAGGACAGUC